rnacentral:sRNA from 1 species
ACCAGGCGCGGUGGCACAUUCCUGUAAUCCCAGGAGCUUGGGAGGUUGAGACAGGAGGAUCAAGAGUUCAAAGCCAGCUUCCGCAACUCAGUGAGACCCUGUCUCUA